GGAAGUAGUUGUGUGUGUGUGUGUGUGUUCACCUGUGUCUUUCUUCUUUCAUCGAUGAAUCACUUGUGGAGGAAACUUGUUAAUGUCGAGACAUCAUUCACGCUCUGCGUUCAAGACCUCGAAACCGAGAUUCAAACGACCGACCGACAAGUUACGAGUGAGCCGAGGGGAGGAAGACGAGCGUGAGAGGAGAAGAAUGGACGUCCUGACCGAUCCUGAAGGGACUUUUAAAGGAAACGGCUUCGACAUUGUGAGAAACAAGAUGAACAAAACCUUCUCGCUUGUGUUGAUCAGUGAAAGUUCAUCCGUCCAUCUUCCCUGGAGACGAUCCAAGAGAACAAGCUGAGGAGCGGUGACAAGAGGAGCUGCGUCAUUCCUCCACGUCUUCAACAGGUUUUGAGGGUUGGAACCGGCCCUACCUGUCAAGAGCCAUGUAAACGUCCAGAUGAAGCGAUGCUGUACGAGCGGAGCGGCGGACAAACCACUUCAGUUUCUGGUGAACAGUCAGACAUGCAACUUGGUUUGUUUCAGGCUCCAGUGGAAAGAAUCAUUUCAUAUUUAUACGGUAAAUGUAAUUAUCCUGCAAAUGACACAUUUCAACAGGACGUGCUGUAAAAUUGAAUCUGUGAUG